CCUACGGGUGGCAGCAGUGAGGAAUAUUGGUCAAUGGCCGGAAGGCUGAACCAGCCAAGCCGCGUGAGGGAGGAAGGCGCAGAGCGUCGCAGACCUCUUUUGCCGGGGGACAAAAGGCCGGACUCGUCCGGUCCUGAGGGUACCCGGAGAAAAAGUAUCGGCUAACUCCGUGCCAGCAGCCGCGGUAAUACGGAGGAUGCGAGCGUUAUCCGGAUUCAUUGGGUUUAAAGGGUGCGCAGGCGGGCCUUUAAGCCGGCGGUGAAAUCGCGGGGCUCAACCGUAAAAUUGCAAUUGAUACUGGCAGCCUUGAGUACAGUUGAGGUAGGCGGAAUUCGUGGUGUAGCGGUGAAAUGCUUAGAUAUCACGAAGAACUCCGAUUGCGAAGGCAGCUUACUAAACUGCCACUGACAUUGAUGCUCGAAAGUGUGGGUAUCAAACAGGAUUAGAUACCCUUGUAGUC
rnacentral:rRNA from 1 species